rnacentral:rRNA from 1 species
GACGAACGCUGGCGGCGUGCUUAACACAUGCAAGUCGAACGGAAAGGCCCUGCUUUUGUGGGGUGCUCGAGUGGCGAACGGGUGAGUAACACGUGAGUAACCUGCCCUUGACUUUGGGAUAACUUCAGGAAACUGGGGCUAAUACCGGAUAGGAGCUCCUGCUGCAUGGUGGGGGUUGGAAAGUUUCGGCGGUUGGGGAUGGACUCGCGGCUUAUCAGCUUGUUGGUGGGGUAGUGGCUUACCAAGGCUUUGACGGGUAGCCGGCCUGAGAGGGUGACCGGCCACAUUGGGACUGAGAUACGGCCCAGACUCCUACGGGAGGCAGCAGUGGGGAAUAUUGCACAAUGGGCGGAAGCCUGAUGCAGCAACGCCGCGUGCGGGAUGACGGCCUUCGGGUUGUAAACCGCUUUCGCCUGUGACGAAGCGUGAGUGACGGUACCUGCAGAAGAAGCACCGGCUAACUACGU